UGUGUUUUGGUGGGAAGCCUAUUUCUAGAAGGGAGUCAGGCAGCCCAACAGACAAAGGACAAGUAUGGUGCCGUGAACAGAAUAGUAGGACAAAAACCAUCGAGCUGAAUGUGGUCGAGUGAGAACCCGUUUGUGCCAAGACACCAUCUACCACACUUCCAUCGCGGCAGAUAAUUUGCCACUUUGAAAGAGUAGAUUGCGUUAAACUCAAGUGUUGUACUUAUGUGGCUAUUGGAGUAACAGACCGGGGCACAAGACCAGCAAACCACAGAAGAAAGAGAAACGCAAAAACAGAUGUGAACAGCGUUGUGACCACCUUUAUGGACUUGCAAAAGAAACAGUUUAUGUUUCCUGUGAGCAAAGCAGGCAAAAGCAAGAUGUUGACGCAGAUGAUAGACAGACCUUUUAAUUUCAUGGUGCCAUUGCCGCCUUUUCCGCAUCACACACCCUCGCGCCUACAACUCCUUCUCGCUACUACCAGGGGUCUCCACGAACUACACUUCUCAUGAAAUACUCAAAAUCUUUAAACAACCUCCCAGUGCUGGAGCCUCGCUCUCCCUGCUCACUACUGUAUUUGCACCCUGCGCAGGAACCAAAUCCAUCCCCAUCCUAUCACAACCUCUAGAAAACAUUGUUGCUUCUGUUAAAAUUACCUCCAUGUAACUUAAGUAAUGUUUGCAUUUUAAAUUCUAUUGCAUACUGUUUACCUCUUAUAUUCUAUUUUUGUAAAUAUUUAUUGUUAAAAAGAAGAAUAUUGUUUUUCUAUUCAUUAUGUUCAAUUGUUUUUAAAUAUCACUCCUGCAUUUGUUAUAUACACAAUAACAAAUUUAAAAACAAAAUAAAAACAAAACUAAAAAAAACAAAAUAGUAAAUUCAAAACCAAAAUAACAAAACCAAAUACAGUAUAACAAAUCAAAAUCCACAGGAAGUACUGCAGCCACACGGAAUAUACGUCUAAAUGUCCGUGUGGCUGCAGUACUUCCUGUAUAUUUUGAGUGACAGAUGUCUCGUCCAAUCAUCGGUAAGAAUCAACAAGCCAAAAAAGGUAGGUGUGGUUUGCGAAUGACAUUCUUACCGCUGAUUGGACAAGACAUAUGUCACUUAAAAUAUACAAGUACUGCAGCCACACGGACAUUUAGAUGUAUUUUCAUUUAAGGAUCUAUUUCAGUAUUUUGUGAUUAUAUAUUACUUUUGUCAACUACGUUGUUUUAAAUGUGCUUUAAAAAUUAUUUUGACUUUACUUGAUAGUGCUGGUUGUAUGUCUUGAGUGAAAGAUGUCUCAUCCAAUCAGCGAUAAGAAUUUCAUUCGCAAACUAUACCUAUCUUUUCCGGUUUGACAAAAUUGUUAUGUUUUCUCAUUUGGUAUUUUGUAUGUGGAUAUGUCGUUUUGUUUUCGGUUUUGUUAUUUUGUUUUCUGUCUUGUUAUUGUUUUCAUUUUUGUUAUUUUGUUUUGCACUUCUCGGCCACCGUAAUGCAGGCAUCCCCGGUCACAUGGAAGAUCCAGGAGCCACCUGUAUGCUGGAGGCUUCUGUAUCUCCUGGGAGGCAUAGGAUGUCUGUGUAUAGUGAUUUCUACUGUAAUACUGUAUGCUGCAUAUUUGUUCAUUUUUACAUUUUUAUUGUAUUUGGCAUUCCUUUUCUAUUAGAACUCUUGCACAAGGAUAUUUUGCUUAAAUAAUAAGACCUUUUGCACUCUUUAA